UUCCUAAAAAUCCCAUAGCAAACUGCGUCAGUAACACAUGAUCAACUUGCCCUAUGGAGGACAAUAACCUCGGGAAACUGAGGAUAAUAGUCCAUAGUUGAUUAGGCUUGGAAAAGUUUUUCAAUGAAUGGAAUAAGAAAAAUGGCUCUUAUUUGCCAUAGGAUAGGAUCGUGCUCGAUUAUGGUUGUUGGUGAGGUAAAGGCUCACCAAGCCGAUAAUCGAUAGGGGCCGUGAGAGCGGUUGCCCCGAGCUGGGUACUGAGAUAACGACCCAGGCCUUACGAGGCGCAGCAGGCGCGAAACCUCAUCACUACACGAAAGUGUGAAUGGGUUACCCAAAGUGUCCUUAUUGGACUGUGGUAGGUGAGUAAUGUUCCCUACUAAAAAGGAGAGGGCAAGGCUGGUGCCACCCGCCGCGGUAAAACCAGCUCUUCAAGUGGUCGGGAUAAUUAUUGGGCUUAAAGUGUCCGUAGCCGGUAUGGUAAGUUCCUGGUAAAAUCGGGUAGCUUAACUAUCUGUGUGCUAGGAAUACUGCUAUACUAGAGGGCGGGAGAGGUCUGAGGUACUACGGGGGUAGGGGUGAAAUCUUAUAAUCCUCGUAGGACAC
rnacentral:rRNA from 1 species